rfam:Daedalea quercina L-15889 unplaced genomic scaffold DAEQTscaffold_21, whole genome shotgun sequence.
CCUUCGAUAGCUCAGUUGGAAGAGCGCGAGACUGUAAUCGGUUGCUUAUCUCGAUGUCGCUGGUUCGAUCCCGGCUCGAAGGA